GCAAAGGUAGCUUAACAAAAAGCAUAGCACUGAAAACGCUCAAAUAUAGGUGUAAAUCCUAUCCCUAGCA
rnacentral:tRNA from 1 species